GCUCCCCUACGGGGGGCAGCAGUGAGGAAUAUUGGUCAAUGGCCGGAAGGCUGAACCAGCCAAGCCGCGUGAGGGAGGAAGGCGCAGAGCGUCGCAGACCUCUUUUGCCGGGGGACAAAAGGCCGGACUCGUCCGGUCCUGAGGGUACCCGGAGAAAAAGCACCGGCUAACUACGUGCCAGCAGCCGCGGUAAUACGUAGGGUGCGAGCGUUAAUCGGAAUUACUGGGUGUAAAGGGUGCGCAGGCGGUUGAGUAAGACAGAUGUGAAAUCCCCGAGCUUA
rnacentral:rRNA from 1 species